rnacentral:tRNA from 1 species
GGGGACAUAGCUCAGUGGUAGAGUGCUUGCCCAGCAAGGGCAAGGCCCUGGGUUCAAUCCUCAGUACCACUA